rnacentral:rRNA from 1 species
UACGGAGGGGGCUGGCGUUGUUCGGAAUUACUGGGCGUAAAGCGCACGUAGGCGGCUUUGUAAGUUAGAGGUGAAAGCCCAGGGCUUAACCCUGGAAUUGCCUUUAAGACUGCAUCGCUAGAAUCGUGGAGAGGUGAGUGGAAUUCCGAGUGUAGAGGUGAAAUUCGUAGAUAUUCGGAAGAACACCAGUGGCGAAGGCGACUCACUGGACACGUAUUGACGCUGAGGUGCGAAAGCGUGGGGAGCAAACAGG